GCCCUGCACAGAGUGUAAGCUAUCUUAAUGGAGAGGGAGAGCGUAUGGAAUGGACAGGAAGGAGACUUAUCCUGAGAGAGUGGGAUCUGCUGGAGAAAAGGAGCACAUCAGUGGGAGAUAUGCUUCCAGAGAAGGUGUGCUUUGGCGUACCUCAAGCUCAGCUUCCUUCAUCUGCAGCUCAUCCAACUUGGGCAGCUCCUUGGUCUGAGUUCGGAUGUAGCAUCUGUGGUGUUUGGCAAACCUGAUACCUGAAUCGCAAAUCUGAUGCUCUCUCAUCUCCUCUCAAGCUACCCCCCUCUGUACUGCAUAUGCCUGACACUUCACAUCAUCUUGCUCAAGCCUGCCAGUCCAUGGCAUGUGGAUGAAGCCUCCCCUUCAGCAUUGCUGCCUCCUCGUGUGUGUGUGGAGGGUAAUCCUGCUUGUGCAGUUUGCCAUCUC